rnacentral:lncRNA from 1 species
AUAUAUACAGCCAGUGAUAAAGUUUGUUAACAUGGCUAGUCAUUCACACAGUGUACUUUAUGCACACUGACCCUACAGUAUAUUGCACCAAAUUGGUUGCUUGUAAUUUGAUUGAUUUUAAGGCAAAGGACUGUAGUUUUGGGAGUGGUUUGCACUUGCAGAUAGAUUUUGCCAGUUUUUCUUGUGCAAUCAAGGAUCAAUGUGCAAACAUUUUUUAGUCUAAAGUGUUUUGUGAAAUAAAGGCAUAAUGGUUAAUUUUCAAAUGGAAGCAUAUGACUUUCCAAUUUCUUCUUUUCCCUAUUUUGUAGGAAAUAUGGCGUCCAACAUUGAUUUAUUGCCACUUGAAUAUAACAUAUACAGUUGAUUGGCACAUGAAGAGAAUACAUAAGAAUAAAGUGAUUUGUUUGGUUUGAUUUUAAUUAGAAAAUAUGCAGUUGCAUCUUGUAGAAUAAUGUUGAGGAAUUGUUCGAUUUUUUGCAUGUGUUGGUUGGUUGAUGCAUGUCAAAUUGUUUCCUUAAUAGUUUGGCGUCUUUAAUUUGGCCAAGCCAACACCACAACUAGCCUACCAACACUGGACCUCAUACUUACUAACUCGCAUGGUUGUGAAAGCAGCCCAAUGCUCGAAAACCUACUCCGCAAUAACACCUUGUUAUGUGUGUUGAAUGCAUUCAGGUAGAGUAAAUGGUUGGCUAAAUGUCAUAACAUUACCAUGACGUUCCAGUUUACUUUGGAUAAGACAGUAGUGAGAGGGGUCAUUGUCUUAAAUAUGUGAAAGUCUAAUUACUGUAUUCAGUGUCAUCAAUAUAUUAUUUUAUUUUUGUUGUGACUAGUUAGCUAAGCAUGCAUAUUCGGUUUUAUUUUUUGAAUAAUAUGUUCUGUUUGCUCAGUUAAAAUAGAAUGAAAUGUAUUAUAUUUAUAAAACUGUACAUUUUGGUAAACUGUUUGAUAGGUGUAGGAGAUGCAUUUUCACUGGUUAUGGUAACAUUUCCAUUGCAACAAUGCUGAGAGUAUGGUAUGAGGAGGAUGUGAAGGACGCAUCAGUUGGAUUUCAGGGCAGUAACAUUGAGAUGUUUUACAGAGGUUUGGUCAGACAGACUGCCACAGAGAGUAUGUGAGAUUGGAAGAAGAAAGCAUCAGAAGGGGAAAUGGCUCCAGAUAUGUUUAUUACUACUUUUCUGAAUGUAAAGUAAUAAAGAACAUUUAGAGCACAGAGUUAAAGGGCAAUUCCGCCACUUUUCCACCUCAUAUUCAUGAUCUCUUGCACCAUACCACCCACUGGGCACAGAUGUCAAGUCAACGUCUUUUCCACUUUGGUUCAACGUAAUUUCAUUGAAAUGACAUGGAAACAACAUUGAUUCAACCACUGUGUACCCAGUGGGCAGUGUCUACAUAUAUGAAAACGGUGUGUUUCUAUGAUCCGUGGUUAAAAAGAGGAAAUACCUAAAAAGAAAAUGCUUCUCUGUGACAUCACAGGGUAGGACUAAAAGUAAGAAAUACUGUGAUUUUCAAAACUUGCAACAAGUUUGUAGCCAGAGGGAGGGUAUUUUCUUGCUCCCAACGUCAACACAAAUCUCAUAGUGUUUGAAAAUCACUGUUUUUAAAAUGUCUUAACUUUUGAUGUCAUCAGGUGGAACUUUAACCUUCAUAUUUUUUUCUACUAAAUAUAGAAAUGUGCCGUUUUCACAUCUGUAGACACUGGUAUUGUGCUGGAGAUAAUGAAAAUGAGCUUGAAAAGUGGGUGGAGUUCCCCUUUAAUGAACACAGGCAAAGUUCAAAGUUGAAAGAACCACGAUGAAUGAUCAAUCAUUUAUUUUUCUGGUCUAAACUGUAUUUGCACACAGCUAUGUAUAAGGCUAUUUUCUACUAAUUGUACCUGAUGCUACAUACAUUUUUGUUGCCCAAAAUUCUGAGCUGUUAUUACUGUUUAAAGGCAAAGUAACAGUCUAUUUAUGUAUGAUUGUAUUUUUCUAAAAUGUUCUAAACUAUAUUUUGGAAAACUAGCCUGUAAACUUUUGGAAAAUGUAACUUACAAUUUGAUAGAUAUUUUUAAUUAGUGAUUUAUAAUAUCAAUUCAAUAUUUAUGAACUGCUGCCAGGCUUACAAAGAAUAUAACUGAAUACAAAAUAAACAAUAUUAAGC